rnacentral:misc_RNA from 1 species
AACCAUAGAAACCUGCGGAGUACCUGCGGAAGGAUCAUUACCGAGUUUACAACUCCCAAACCCCAAUGUGAACCUCUACCUAAUCGUUGCCUCGGCGGGAUCGCCCCGCGGCGCCCCCUCCAGGGCGUCCGGAUCACACGGCGCCCGCCGCAGGACCCCCCAAACUCUCUUGCAUCUCCGGCGUCGUUUUCUUCUGAGUGGACCUUUUUCCUCGCGAGAGCGGGGUGAAAAUGAAUCAAA